rnacentral:rRNA from 1 species
UGAACGCUGGCGGUAUGCCUAACACAUGCAAGUCGAACGAGCUUUUCGGAGCUAGUGGCGGACGGGUGAGUAACGCGUGAGAAUCUGCCUUCAGGAUGGAGACAACAGUUGGAAACGACUGCUAAAACCCAAUGUGCCGAGAGGUGAAAUAUUUAUAGCCUGAAGAGGAGCUCGCGUCCGAUUAGUUAGUUGGUGGGGUAAAGGCCUACCGAGGCAGCGAUCGGUAGCUGGUCUGAGAGGAUGAGCAGCCACACUGGGACUGAGACACGGCCCAGACUCCUACGGGAGGCAGCAGUGGGGGAAUUUUCCGCAAUGGGCGAAAGCCUGACGGAGCAAUACCGCGUGAGGGAGGAAGGUUUUUGGAUUGUAAACCUCUUUUGUUAAGGAAGAAGAAAGUGACGGUACUUAACGAAUAAGCACCGGCUAACUCCGUGCCAGCAG